rnacentral:rRNA from 1 species
CCUACGGGAGGCAGCAGUGGGGAAUAUUGCACAAUGGGGGAAACCCUGAUGCAGCGACGCCGCGUGAGUGACGAAGUAUCUCGGUACGUAAAGCUCUAUCAGCAGGGCAGAAAAUGACGGUACCUGACUAAGCAGCCCCUGCUAAAUACGUGCCAGCAGCCGCGGUAAUACGUAGGGGGCAAGCGUUAUCCGGAUUUACUGGGUGUAAAGGGAGCGUAGACGGCAGCAAAAGUCUGGAGUGAAAUCCCGGGGCUUAACCCCGGAACUGCUUUGGAAACUGUGCGGCUGGAGUGCAGGAGGGGAAAGCGGAAUUCCUAGUGUAGCGGUGAAAUGCGUAGAUAGUAGGAGGAACACCAGUGGCGAAGGCGGCUUACUGGACUAUAACUGACGUUGAGGCUCGAAAGCGUGGGGAGCAAACAGGAUUAGAUACCCCGGUAGUC